rnacentral:lncRNA from 1 species
CUGGUUUUAGCUCAGUCAUGUAUCUACAUUGACUCCUAGCUCAGGCAGGAAAUAGGUCUUAAAGUAACUGACUAAAAUUUAUCUGCUUUUCUGAGGUUCCAAAGCCUUUGGUAUUUUGAGAGACAAGGCCCUGCUUCACAUAUAGAACCACAGCUCACAGAAGCCUUGGAAGGAUUAUCAUUUCACUCACCUCUCUGCAGAGCAGAAAGCUCAGUUCUACACUGCAUAACAAUUGUGUUUGCACAAAGCCCACAGUUGUGAAGCCUUUUCUCAAGGAGUCUCCACAUUGAAGCAGAAGAGUGUGAGGAGUCCUCCUCCUGAGGAGGAAGCAGCAGCAGAAACAACAGGUAACUGACAGAAACUGACCACAGCCCCCAUUCCCCAUCCCCCAGUGCCACUGGGAAGGAGGACAUACACAAAAUCGAAAGUGAAGUCUGGGAAGAAGUGAAAAGGUGAAAGAAGGUGAUUUUAGGAUUUGGUUUUAG